rnacentral:sRNA from 1 species
UGGCCAUAUUUAUAACCUCCUAUAUUGGAUUG